UGAGAUCGCAUAAUCACGUUUUUCUGGAGGGAUUGAAAAGAAAGCAACUUUAGGAAACCUGACAUGCGGCACACGAUCCCCGGUCUCCUGGGUGAAGGUCCUGUAUUUGACCCAUCCACCCCCCCAACCAACCUCCCUAC